UAGCUCAGUGUAGAGCACUUGUCUAACAUGCAAGAGGCCCUGGAUUCAAUCCCCAG
rnacentral:tRNA from 1 species